rnacentral:misc_RNA from 1 species
GAUGAAGAACGUAGCGAAAUGCGAUAAGUAGUGUGAAUUGCAGAAUUCAGUGAAUCAUCGAAUCUUUGAACGCACAUUGCGCCCCUUGGUAUUCCAUGGGGCAUGCCUGUUCGAGCGUCAUUUGUACCUUAAGCUCUGCUUGGUGUUGGGUGUUUGUCUCGCCUCUGCGUGUAGACUCGCCUCAAAACAAUUGGCAGCCGGCGUAUUGAUUUCGGAGCGCAGUACAUCUCGCGCUUUGCACUCAUAACGACGACGUCCAAAAGUACAUUUUUACACUCUUGACCUCGGAUCAGGUAGGGAUACCCGCUGAACUUAAGCAUAUCAAUAAGCGGAGGA